UAAACAGCACUGAAGACUGAAGACCUUACUACAAAAAGGCUAAUUUUGAGCAAAUGGAAAACGUGGUAGAGUUCCCCCACUUUGAUUUUAUCCAAAGACCUUAGAAUUUGAGCUGAAAGGAUUACCUGUAAUGGUGGGAUGGUGUUUCAGUCUCUAUGGUAAACUUAAUCCUCAGCCUAU
ensembl:misc_RNA